AAAAGCGUCGGAGGUGACUUUUCUCCACAUUCAAACGUAAUUGGUUUGCUUUCCGUUGAUUUUUUUUUUUAAAAUUGUCAGCAUGAAGAAGUUUCAGAGAGGCUGCGAUCGAUCGAUCAUCGUUUCGAGCACGUACGUCGUUUCUGAUUUUUGUUCCUAAAUUGGAAAUCGUGGCUUUCUUACGUGUGUGUUUGUGAAAAAGGAGAUUGGAGUUUCGGAGUCUAAUUGUAGAUCGAUCGUUGAGUCAUCGCUCAUGUGGAAUGAAGUGACUAUCCUCCAUCCGUCGUCGUUUUUAAUUCUCUGUUUUUAAAACGUAUUUGAGAAAUAAGGUUCUUGUUGCAAAGGGGAUGAAAUAUAUUAAUCAUGGCUACUCCUCCUCACUGUUGAUGCUAUUGAUUGGGAUUCUAAGUCAGCAUAUGCUGCUUUUACGGAAAGAUCAAAGCUAUGCUCUCUCCACAUUUGAUGAUUAGGAGUGCUAAAGUUAUAGAGUUUGUAGCUAAGGGAAUCUGCAAAGGUCUUGAUUUCUAUGUUCUGCAGGAUAGCUGAAGUUUUGGAUAUCUGAUUGGUUGAUUCGAGCGAGCAUUUUGAAUUUAUGUAUAGACGGUUGUGUAACAGAGAAGGGUACUAAUUUAGACAGCCAUUCUGUAAAAAGGGAAUCCUUUGGGUGAGAGGUAAUAAUGUCUUCAGAAGAUGAUUUUAGGAUUGCUUUGUUUUAUGACAGUAACUGCUAAAUGCAUGUCAUCAGUCUGAGCUUGUGCUAAGUAUAUAUGAGUUUAUUAUGAUUUUUUUUUUUGUUGGGCUUGCUAUAGUCUCAACUUGAGACUCUCAAGGUUUCCGUUUUGCCUUUUACUUCUGCUUUUGCUGAUAGUCACAGUGCUCUUAUGGUUUUAGUUGUUCACUGUAGAUACGGAAUUUGCUUCAUCAUUUUGCUUUGGGAAUUUUUUUAAUGGUUUUAGUUUGCUAAGUUAAAUUUACUAAACUAGCAGGAGAUGUUGCAAGUCAUUUGUUGUUUCUCCGUUUCGGUAACUAUUUAUAGACAUUUCACCUUACAGUAUAAAAGCCAUUUGUUGUUUAUCUGUAUUGAAUGUGAGAGAACCUUCUUGGAAAGUUCAAGCUACGUGGAGGGCCUCAGCUGUCACCCAUAUCUGAUUCGCGGUUUAAGUUUUUUAUUUUUAACUUGAUGUUACUCUCCUUGAUUUUGAUCCUUGCGAGUCUAAGAGGGAGGUUUCAUGUGGAAGCUUUUGUGAUAUCUGAUUCUUUUCUCCUAUGCAACUUCAUUCUGUUCUACAAGGUACGGUUUUUCUCGUCUCUUAUUGUGCUUUAAGAUUUUCUUCAUCAACAGCAUUACGCAUUAUACUCACCGUCAGAUUAACAAAUUUAAUAAAUUUCUCAAAAUUGGGAUCUAUCUUCCUUCCCCGAUAAACCUGUAGUGUGCUAUUUUUCACUAUUUUCUUUUACUGAGGCAGGUUUUAUUUUAUCUACCUUCCCUUAUAAAUCAUCACGCAGAGCCAUUGCUUGACCUAAUUAAAGAUGUACAACACACAUUUAUAUAUUUCUUUAACUGAUGCAGUUUCUAGGAUGAAGCUUUGAGACAUUCCACAAUAGAGCUCUAGUAUAGUUUAUGCAGUUUUUGAAGAGGUGUAAGGUCUAUAUGGUCAUCGAUUUACUUGUCAGUUUCAGAACUUGGUUUCUUGAAAAUCUCACUGGAUUUCUUGGUUUAAGACAUGUCUUUCUUAUAGGUUGUCAUUUGUGACUAAUCGAGUUACCACUCUCUCUUAGAGGUGAAGUUACAUCACAAGUCUGUAUGGUUGUCUGUAAUUGUUUCAUGUUCGUGCAUGGAGACAAUAAGAUGUUUAAGAAUAUGCAAAAAGGGUACAAAAUUUGGUUUUGACGCCUUAUGGUUUUACAGCGGUAUAAGGUAAUAUGUAUGGUUCUCUUGAGGUUGGCGUUUGCUUUCAGCUGUGGAGAAGCCACUGUUCAGAACAGUUGGAGAUCCCAACUUCCAAGACAGGAAAGUUUGGGACUGUAUGUCUGUAUAUAUAGCUUGGCUUUCUUCAUCGAGGUUUUGGAAAUCAUCAUGCAGAGCCAUUGCUUGAUCUAAUUCAAGAAAUCAACGACAUGUCUUGACGAUCUCAUUGGAAUGCGACAGGUUCUGGAGAGCAACAUUCAUUUGAAUGAUGCAGGAGACGGAAGUUUCUGGUCUCUGAUGGUUGCCUCUUCAGUGGAUAGUUCUCAGCCUUUCUCCUUUUGGCGAUUUCACUCUUACAGGCGAGUCAAGAGGGUUUGUAACUUUCUAGUUUCAUUUGCCAACGACUUUGCAGAAAUUCUUUCACCAGACAUUAGGAGCACCAAAGUUUCAGAUUUGUAGCCACGGGAACGUUGCAAGGUUUUGCUUCCUAUGUUCUGCAGGUCAAUUAGAUGUCCUUCUCUUUUCUUCUAACUCAAGUUACCCCUGACUGAUUGUGUUUGUUUACUUUAGAUUUCAAGGGUACUAGAUGUCUUUAGGCUCCUAUGGUUUCCCUCCCAGCCUUGAUAUAUAAGGUUCUUUUUGAGUUUUGUCUUUGCUUGUUUUCAAUAUACUUUGUUGUCUACAGUUGGCCGUAGUUGUGUUUGUGUAGAAUAACUGAUGUUUUUGGUUUCGAACUGGUUGCUUUGAGCGAGUUCUGAAUGCAAAGACAGCCAUGGUGUAAACAUGGACAGUACCAUUGGAAGCCAGCUUGGUAUAGCCGCCGCUUCAGUAUGUGCUAAUUCUCCCGUACUCGUUGAGUCUCUGACUAUCACUUUCUCGUUAGAUUUUGCAGAAAGACUCUGUGGGAUGUGUAGCUUGCAUCAAACAGUAGUGGUGAUGUUUCUGCUAAGAUCAGGAGAUGCUGCUACGGAAAGAUCAAAGCUAUGAUAGGAUCUCCACACUUGGUGAUCCCAAGAUUGUAGUGUGUCUCUAAGAGGGCACCGAGACAAGGAGGUUUCAUGUGGAAGGUUUUGUGAUAUCUGAUUCUUUUCUCCUCUGCAACUACAUUUUGUUCCACAAGGUUUUGGAAAUCAUCAUGCAGAGCCAUUGCUUGAUCUAAUUCAAGAAGUUCUGAAGAGCAACAUUCAUUGUCUGAUCUCUAAGUUACUUUUGACCUUUUUCUUGUUCAAAUUGCAUCUGUUGGUUUUCUGUUUAUGUUGAUUACUUGUGUUAUUCACAGUGAAUGAUGCAGGAGACGGAAGUUUCUGGUCUCUGAUGGUUGCCUCUUCAGUGGAUAGCUCUCAGCCUUUCUCCUUUUGGCGAUGUCACUGUUCAGGGGCGAGUCAAGAGGGUUUGUAACUUUCUGGUUACCUCGCAUACAUACACCUUUUUCUUCCGCUUGGUAUGCUGAAUAUGCGUCUGGGAUACAAGCUGCCUUGCGACUUUCUUGGAGUCGAAAGAUAGCUUUCUGUUAAGUGUGUCACAAUACAAACAAGGAUAUGUUUAUAAUUUCAGCCAUCUAGAAUGUACUGUUUGUUAUUUGGCAAUGAGUCCCUUGUGAUUUCUUUGAGUCGAAAGAUAGCUUUCUGUUAAACGUGUCACAACAAUACUUUAAUCCAAACCUCUGCUUAUUGCAGCCACCGAGUGUGUAAGCCUUUGCUCUUGUCUUAGUGAUCUGUUUCCUUGUCGCUUUAUUUUUUUUUCCAGACUGGUGUUCUGCAGGUCAAUAGAUGCUUGUUGAGGAUGUUUCUAGAAACCAUUCGCAGUCAAGUUUUUCUUCUACAAGGACUAGGCCUGGUUUCUAAUUUCCGGUUGUCCUUUCCGCAUCUGGUUCUGACACGUCCCUAAUGAGACCUACAUAGUUUGAGAGUAAAGCAAAAGGUAAUAGUUAACUCUAUGGAAUCAGUUGCAUUUGGUGGUGGUUUAUGCAGGAAAAAAACAAAACUCUAUGGAAUCAGUUUACCUUUGGUGGUGGUGGUUUAUGCAGGAUCAGGUUGGGAUUCUAGGUUGCAGCAAACGGUGGUGGAGAUGUUUCUGCUAAGAUCAGGAGAUGCUGCUUACAAAAGAUCAAAGCUAUGAUCUCCACUCUUGGUGAUCCCAAAGGAGAGCCAAAGUUUUGAAAUUGGUAGCGAAGGGAACCUGCAAGACAAUAGGAUGGGUACGAAUAUGAGAGAAUUGUGUAGAAAAUUCUACUAAGUAAGUUUCAGAUGAUGCAGCAAUCUCCUUUGGGACUUGUUGGCUCUGUUAAUAUCUUGCAUGCGUGGUAUUAUGAUCUUAGUCUUGCAUGUAUUGUCUGUGGAUCAGGUUAAGUCAUUUGGAAAUCUUUCAUGCGUGUUUUCCUGCUCUUAAUUUGCAGCUUUCCGAUGAUGAUCGCUUUAUCGUUUUCCUUGUGGUAUUUGUGUCCCAGUGAGAACUCCUUAUUUGUUUUGCUCACUUAUUACAGGAUUGGAUCUGGUUUCUGAUUUUCAUUCUUCCUCCUUUGCGUCCUUUCUGCCUUUUAAUCCAGUGUGUCUAAGAGGGAGAACCAUUCUGGGAGACGAGGGAGGUUUCAUGUGGAAUCUUUUGUAAUAUCUUAUUCUUUUCUCCUCUGCAACUUCAUUUUGUUCUGUAAGAUUAAGUUGACAAAUUUCUGAAGAAUAGGCUCUAUCUUCCUUCCACCGUUAACUAUUUUCACAAUUUUCUUUACUGAGGCAUGUUUCUUUUAUCUACCUUUCCUUAUAAAUCAUCAUGUAGAGCCAUUUGCUGACCUAAUUAAAGAAGUAUAUAACACAUUUAUUUCAUUCUUUACUGAGGCAGUGUCUAGGAUGAAGCUUUGAGAUAUUCAAGUAUCAGGACUUGGUUUCUUGUUAUAAGACAUGUAUUUGUUACAGGUUGUCAAUUAUUCAAUUUAUGUAAAUAACCGAAAGAGUAUUCAGUUACCACUCUCUUUUAGAGGUGAUCUUCUUACACUUUUGUCUGUAGUGAUUUUAUGUCUGUGCAUGGAGGCAAUAAGAUAGACUAAGAAUAUGCAGAAAGGGUACAAGAUUUUGUUUUGAGGCUCCUAUAGUUUUACAGCGGUAUGAGCUUAUGAGGUAAUAUGUAUGGUUCUCUUGAGUUUCGCGUUUGCUUUAAGCCGUUGUUCAGAACAUGAUGGUUUUCUUAUAUAAUACUUUAGUCUUUCGCAGUGCUUGGAUCUGAAUAAUUGGCCGUAGUUGGUAUCCUGUUUGUUGCAUUUGUGAAUAGAGAUUCCAAUAGGGGAAAAUCACUGGAAUCGUUUGGGACCGGUUAUAUAGUUUGAUUUUCUUCAGUGUCGGUAUGUUAAAGAUACAAAGGUUAUUGUUGUAUAGUGUUGAAGAUAUCAUCAUGGCUGCUCUUCACGGAUUGGGAUUCCAGGUUGCAGCAACGGGUGGUGGAAAUGUUUCCGCUAAGAUCAGCAUAUGCUGCUUACGGAAAGAUACAUUAUUUGAUGAGCAUUUUACUCGGAUCAUUAACCCAAAGGAGCACCAAAGUUUCAGAAUUUGUAGCCACGGGAAUGUCGCAAGGUUUUGCUACCUAUGUCUGCAGGUCAUGUCCUUUUGUUUUCUUCGAACUCAGUUGUUGGCCGAAGUUGGGUUUGGUUGCUUCGAGAGAGGGUCGUCUGUUUCAGCUUUUUGAGAUCCAGGUUCCAAAUGCAAAGACGGUUGUGUAACAGAGAACGGUACUAAUUCAGACAGUAACGUUGGCAGAAGGUUUCUUGGCUUAGCCGCCGCGGCAGUCUGUGCUAUGUACUCGUUGAGUCUCUGACUAUCACUUUCUCGUUAGGUGGUCAAAAUCUUUCUUUCCCCGAAAUUGUUGAGCUAUGUUCUCUUUUUUUUUAUGUCUUGUCAAAGUGACUACAGUACAGUGAACUCUUGUGAAAGCUUGGGGUUUGAUUAGGGAAAUGUUGCUGCUAAGAUCAAAGCUAUGAUCUCCACGUUUGGUAAUCCCACCAAGGUAUUCGUAAAUUCUUUUUUCUGUGUUAUGAAUGUGUUCUUUGCUGUUUCUGGGAAUGAUUUCAAUUUCAAGUUGUUUUUUCCUUAAGACACACCUUAUGAUUUGCAGAAGUGCCAAAGUUUAAGAUGUAUCCGGUCUACCAGGUUUGUGAGAGUUAAUUCAAAUGAUUAUAGUGAUCCAGGCUGUUGUUUAUUUAUUCUUCUUUACGGACAUGAGGGUUUUCUGUUGGGUGCUAUGUUUGUUAACAUUAGGUCUUAAUUGUCUGUGUAAUGUCUCCAGAUGUUGAUUUUUGGCAUAUCUUAUCUAGUUGUGACAGUAACUGCUAAAUGCAUGUCAUCAGUUGAGUUUACAUACGUGUCUUAUUAUGAGUUUGCUUCGGCCACAAUGUUUUUUUUUUUGUUGGGCUUGCUAAUAGUCUAAAAGAUACGAAAUUUGCUUCAUAAUUAUACUUUCGAAUAUUUUCCACAAUGAUUACCUAAACUAGUGGGAGAGGUUGCAAGCCAUAUUUGUUCUCUCCCUUUCUGUAACUUUUCAGUUACUGACAUUUGACUUGUGGUGCUUUCUACUUUAUGAUGUUGGAGAGCGUUAGUGGUGAAUUUAUGCCAAGGUAUGUGUAUUAACGUUGAUAUGAUUCUGUUUCUAUAAGUUACUUUUCAUGCAGAGUGGAGGGUCUCAUUCAUAGUUGUCACCCAUAUCUGAUUGGCGGUUUUUAGCGUUUUUUACUUGAGGUUACUUCUCCUUGACUUCUCUAAGAGGGGGAAGCAUUCUGGGAGACAAGGGAGGUUUUGUGAUAUCUGAUUCUUUUCUCCUCUGCAACUUCAUUCUGUUUCUCUCCAAGGGAACCAAGGAAACGUGGCACUGAUUUAGAGAUGAAGUUACAUUGCUCUGUCUGUAAUGCCCCGACCCGCCCACGGCUAAUGGGCCACCCACGCCCGCUCUCUCGGCCCGUGGGCCCCAUCCCAUCCGACGGUCGGUCGUUAAUUUUCCAAGGCUCGAAAUCAUCGUUUACUGACCCUGCAAUCACCACAUGACCUUUCUCCGUGCUUUGGCCUCACUCACACGGUAUCGCAAAUCACUUCCCGAUAGGUCACCCAUCCUUUCACUACUCCAGCCCAAGCACGCUUAACUCUGGAGUUCUAAACGGAUGUGUGACGGAAAAGGUAAGUCAACUUUGGUGACAUAGGUAGCCAAAUUAAUUCUCUUAAGCCUUUUCAUAUAUCACAACUCGGGAUGUUACAAUUCACCCCCUCUCAAAGAACGCAACGUCCUCGUUGCGCCCUACGACAGGUCUCAAGACGCCUCUCAGGUCAGAACUGAGACGGCUAACCAGCUCUGAUACCACUUGUAGCGCCCCGACCGUCCACGGCUAAUGGGCCACCCACGCCCGCUCUCUCGGCCCGUGGGCCCCAUCCCAUCCGACGGUCGGUCGUUAAUUUUCCAAGGCUCGAAAUCAUCGUUUACUGACCCUGCAAUCACCACAUGACCUUUCUCCGUGCUUUGGCCUCACUCACACGGUAUCGCAAAUCACUUCCCGAUAGGUCACCCAUCCUUUCACUACUCCAGCCCAAGCACGCUUAACUCUGGAGUUCUAAACGGAAGUGUGACGGAAAAGGUAAGUCAACUUUGAUGACAUAGGUAGCCAAAUCAAUUCUCUUAAGCCUUUUCAUAUAUCACAACUCGGGAUGUUACACUGUCUCUCUGGCUUUCUGUUAAGUUUUUUGCCCUCCACAGUUAUUUGUUUUUUGCUUAGGUUCAUAUGGUUCUCCUGAGUUUUGCUUUUGCAUUUUGCUGUGGAGAAACUCUGUAGUUCACGACUGAACAUUGAGUUUUAUGACCGUACUACUAACUGAAUGCAUCAAUCUGAGUUUGCGUGUCUAUCUUUCCUGUUGUAACGUGUUUCAAGUCAAGUUAUGUUAUGUUCUGCAGCAGUAAGAGAAAAUAUAUUGUAAAAAAAAUUGAUAGUAAUUGUCCUUUCCUAAAA